GCCCGGUUAGCUCAAUUGGUUAGAGCGUCAGACUUUUAAUCUGAAUGUUGCGAGUUCGAGUCUCGCAUUGGGCG